GGUGUCGUUUCUUGGUCCGGCGAUGGUUGUUCCCGCUGCUGCUCGGUCCGGACGACGCCGUCGGGGCCGCCCUCCUGGGAUUCGGGCGGCCGUUAUUGCGAGUCGCCACUGAAGCACACCCCCGCGCCGUUGCUGCGUCUCUGGAAUCUCGGCGACGCUCCCAUUCCUCCCCCCACCGCCCGCAAUUCCCAUCCUCUCCUCUUGAGCUCUCUUCGCGAUCCCCUACCCUCCCUCCUCGACGAGCAUCGAUCUGGCCGGAUCCUGCAAUACACACACGGAUCCGGCGUAACCAUCACGGCGGCGGGCCACCAGGACUGGACGGAUUGCCGCUCGCCGAUGUUGCUGCUGUCGCCUCUGCCAAAGUAGCGGACGCUGCGGUGGACCAAUUUGGGCUGGAGGGGUCGCGUCGCUCAGCUGGUCGCCUCCAACGCCCCCAGCAUGAGCGGCAACGAGGCGCCCGAUAAUGCCCCCCUGCGGCGGCAGCGGUAAGGCGCUCGCAGCAGGGGCAUACCGGUGAGCGCGGACGCCUGGAGUGGCUGGCGUGUUUGCGGGGAAAGCACGAUGGGUGGGGCCACACGCAUCGCCCUCCGCUCCUUCACUUCCCGCUGCAGGCAGUGGUUUUCCUCCGUCAACGAUCCAAAGCAGCGUUUCAGGUGCUCCCACUCCAUAUCCAUAUGCUUUAGCUUAGUCCCUCCCUGAUCUCUAAUUGCUCCGUUGGUGUGAAGUCUCUCAGAUUUGGGGCCACAAGGGUUCCUAAGGAACAAGCAGGCAACAAGGGAAGACGUGGGGUGGGUCAUGUUUGUGGAGAUGCCCAACUGACUCAAAAGGGUGACCUUGGGCAGCGUGGUGUACGCGGUGAGUGGUGACUGAUCUCCCAUUUUUGUUUUCUCAAUUUCAUGUUGAUUUCCGAGCGUCGCGUUGCUGUUUAUCCGGCUAACAAAUGUGACUAUCUGAAUCUUUUCUAAUGGUGGUUCAGCUAUAAAUCAGCAUCAUCAAUAACCAAAUCCGGUUUCACAUGCAUUCAGUUGACAAUCAGUUUGUAUGCCUGUGAUAUAUUCAUUUGAAUCAGUGACUUGUGUACAGAUGCUCCAAAACAAACAACAUUCUUAGGUCCUUAACUGUGUUCACAUGUUGAUUCUCGAAGGUAUGCUCUCCAAUGACAUGAUCACUGUUGGGAUGUCCCUGAAAGGUGACGAUUCCUGAUUCAACAGAAGCCAGAUGGAGACCAUUAGGCAGUAUGGUCGCAUCCCUCAGAGUUGCUAAGGUGUGUUAUGUACUGAUCAAUCAAAACAAUUGUAGAUUACAGUUGAUCCCGUCGUCCGAUGGUUCAUGCACCUGAGUAACUGCCACUGAUCCCCCUUCGAUGUGAUACAACGAGCAUGAGCACGGGGACGAAAACUAAGUGCGACUGAUUGUGUCUUGAUUCACGAGGUUAGUAUAAGGCAAGCUGUUCAAAUUUUCAUGAUGCAACAGCCAUCAAGUAUUGAAUUGGGACUUCCAAACCGGUAUUACUAAAUACUGGGAGAUGGACUAUUUUUCAGGUUUCUCUUGUGAUUUUUCAAUGUAGGACCUGAAUAGGUGAGAAGCAGAAGAAUGCGGGGCGACUAAUUAUUUGCAAUAUUUUUUUAUUUUAAACAUGAUUAUGUGAGAUAUUAUACUUGUUCACACGGUAAGUAUUAGUUCCUCAUCUCUGUACGAAGGAGGCAGUGAGCAUGAACCAAAUAAUUGGUCCUACAUAAUUUUGUUUGUGUGCUCCAGUGCAAAAAAAAUAACCAUAUGGUACAACAAGGUUUCUCUUCGGUGGUAUAAAAACAACAUCACAUUUGAAUUGGUUUAAAUUUUCCUUCAUGAUUCCGACACAAUGAAAAUAUUCUUAGCUGCUAAUUAUCUUUCUAUGUAAAUUUAUCAUGUAAUGAUGAAGCAAGUUGUCUCAUAUUUUAAUGCAAAGACGUGCCUUCACAAUUUUAAUAGUAGAAAAAACUCACUUUGCUCUUGCCAUUGAGACAGAGGGCUAUAUGUAUAAUUUCAUUGAAAGUCCAAGUCCGUUAUUAACCAUUCUCUUUCGUCUUUUGAGCAUAGUCCAUACAUUUGAAUGUGAAUUGUAAACUUAGCAUCAGUAUGGACCUUACUAGCAGUAUUGACCAAGAUAACUGAGAUACGACCAACACUUGGUUGCUUCAUGAAAUCGGUACAUGGAAAUUGCUGUUAGGGAAUGUGUAGGCAACUAGACAGGUAUAUUAGUAAGAAGUGUAUUUUCGCUGUUAUUAGGUUACGUAACAGUUGACAUUGUGGUCUAAUUUCAGAUCUGUUUUGCAGCUGCCUUGGUCGUCGUCCCUCCUGGCUCAAAGGAAUAGAGCACCAAGUCCUUGAAGAAAACUCCCAAGCAAAAAGAAGAAGAAAAGAAAGGAGUUGUGGCUAAGGAAACAAAAAGAAAAAAAAGACUAUUGUAGUCCGGUAAUCCUCUGAAAUGAUAAAGACGACCGCUAGCCAGUCCUUGCUGAGUUCAAGCUCACACUUUAGUUAUCCUGUUGUAAUCCAUUGUCUAAUCAUACUUACAUGUCUACCAACAAUGUAAUCAGUUCAAUGAAUAAAUUUUUGCACCACCA